GACGAACGCUGGCGGCGUGCCUAAUACAUGCAAGUAGGACGCAGUUGUGAACGGGUGAGUAACGCGUGGGUAACUACCUAUUAGCGGGGGAUAACUAUUUGAAACGAUAGCUAAUACCGCAUACUAGCAGAUGGACCUGCGUUGUAUUAGCUAGUAGGUAGGGUAAUGGCCUACCUAGGCAACGAUACAUAGCCGGACUGAGGGGGUGAUCGGCGACACUGGCAGUUGUGCACGGGACACACUCCUACUGGAGGCAGCAGAAGGAGAACUACGGGGAUGGGGGGAAGACUGACCGACUAACGGCGGGGGAGUGAUGACGGUAUACAAUUCAUCAAGCUCUGUUGUAAAGGUAGCGGUACUUAACCAGAAUGGCACGGCUAACUACGUGCCAGCAGCCGCGGUAAUUC
rnacentral:rRNA from 1 species